UGCAAUGAUGGUAUAAUUUGCGUCAGAAUGCAAGGUUGGUGACAGUUGCCUACUGUUAGUGUGCCAGCUUGCUGUACUGUUGACCAUUAAGUCUGAGCA